rnacentral:rRNA from 1 species
AUUGAACGCUGGCGGCAGGCCUAACACAUGCAAGUCGAGCGAGCGGCGGACGGGUGAGUAAUGUCUGGGAAACUGCCCGAUGGAGGGGGAUAACUACUGGAAACGGUAGCUAAUACCGCAUACCAUCGGAUGUGCCCAGAUGGGAUUAGCUCGUAGGUGGGGUAACGGCUCACCUAGGCGACGAUCCCUAGCUGGUCUGAGAGGAUGACCAGCCACACUGGGACUGAGACACGGCCCAGACUCCUACGGGAGGCAGCAGUGGGGAAUUUUGGACAAUGGGGGGAAGCGUGAUCCAGCCAUGCCGCGUGUGUGAUGAAGGCCUUCGGGUUGUAAAGCACUUUCAGCAGGGAAGCGGGACCUGCAGAAUAAGCACCGGCUAACUACGUGCCAGCAGCCGCGGUAAUAC